CCCCAGACUCCUACGGGAGGCAGCAGUGGGGAAUAUUGCACAAUGGGGGAAACCCUGAUGCAGCGACGCCGCGUGAGUGAAGAAGUAUUUCGGUAUGUAAAGCUCUAUCAGCAGGGAAGAAAAUGACGGUACCUGAUUAAGAAGCCCCGGCUAACUACGUGCCAGCAGCCGCGGUAAUACGUAAGGGGCAAGCGUUAUCCGGAUUUACUGGGUGUAAAGGGAGCGUAGACGGUGAUGCAAGUCAGAAGUGAAAGCCCGGGGCUCAACUCCGGGACUGCUUUUGAAACUGUGUAACUGGAGUGCAGGAGAGGUAAGCGGAAUUCCUGGUGUAGCGGUGAAAUGCGUAGAUAUCAGGAGGAACACCAGUGGCGAAGGCGGCUUACUGGACUGUAACUGACGUUGAGGCUCGAAAGCGUGGGGAGCAAACAGGAUUAGAUACCCGAGUAC
rnacentral:rRNA from 1 species